UACGUAGGGUGCAAGCGUUGUCCGGAAUUAUUGGGCGUAAAGAGCGUGUAGGCGGUUUGGUAGGUCCGUUGUGAAAACUCGAGGCUCAACCUCGAGACGCCGGCGGAAACCAUCAGGCUAGAGUCCGGAAGAGGAGAGUGGAAUUCCCGGUGUAGCGGUGAAAUGCGCAGAUAUCGGGAAGAACACCCGUGGCUAAGGCGGCUCUCUAGUACGGUACUGACGCUGAGACGCGAAAGCGUGGGGAGCGAACAGG
rnacentral:rRNA from 1 species